AAGAAGUAAUACUGAGAACCUAUUUGUUGAUCAUUGUUCUUGUUUCUUAGGCUAUACUGUAGUCCAUCCAUUCACACCAGUGGGGAAAAAUUUAGAACUGCUUUUGGUGUGUGAUAAGAAGGAUCUGGAAAGUUGGCAGAAGCAAAACCUGCCAUUGAGUGUUGUGACUAGAUUAAAGGAAUUGAGCAAAACAGAAAUUAAUCAUAUCAGAUUGUCGUGUCUAGCCUUGUGUUUUGAUCUUAUUAAAAGAUGUGCAGUUCUAUAUGAGUUUUUACCAUCGUUCCAUGAAAUAAUGCAUCCAAUAAGAGUACUCCUGACACAGCAUGUGUCAGCGAAUGAAUAUCCUGAACAAAUGCAGGAAUGGUAUCACAAUGCUCUAAAGGAGCUGGAGAACAAAGCAAAGCACUAUACUCCACUGAUAUGUGAGAAAAAGAAGCCAGUGCCAUUGAAACAGUAUACACCUAAGAUUGUGAAAGUGUAAGUAAAGCAAGCUUAGUGCAAAAGAAUAAGUGCAUCUAAGCAUUCUGAUGCUAAGGCUUCAGGCUAAAAAGACUUGGAAGGCAGGACAUAAAACAGGCAACUUUGUUUCUCUGUUGCAUUUUAUGCAGGAGCUGCAAAGGACCAGCUACUUGAUUGGUAGGGAGAGGAAGAAAAGGGAAGGAGGGAUUCUAAGAAACUGAACAGAAAUUACCUUAUGAGGGAAAAAGCAGCACUGGGAACCAAGUCCUGCCCAUCUAAUCAGUUAUAAAUUAAUAAAUUUCAAGUUGAAAAGAGGCUGUUACUACACAGUACAUUACUGUGUACUCUGCAAAGCACUUGAGUCUCAAGGACAGUAGUUCAUAAAAAAUCAUACUGAAAUAUAUAAAAGUAAAGAUGAAUGAUGAAAUGCUGUGGCAUUUUUCACUGAUGCAGAAGAGCAGGCAGACUACUCCUGUCCUCUGUCUCACGGAUCAUAGCAGAUAAUGCAUCACAUUAAGCAUUCUUAUAAAUGUACCAGGCUGCACAAUUCCUUUUUCAUCCCACCAAGCAGUUUUCUGCCUUUCAACAAUAGCAAUCACAAAAAACAUGGAGCUUUCUUUCUCUCUUUUUAUAGAAUUUAAAAUGAUCUGUACAUUCUUAUAUUCUCUUUUGAAAUUAAAUUUAAAUAGCGCUGGUUCCUUUUGUAGAUGGUAGAACUGUUUUCUGAUUCAGGAAGUCUGAUUUAUAUUGACUGCUGACUCAUCUAGACCUGUUUAUUAUCUGCAAGGGCAAAAACUUGUCUUAUUUAUUCUAAUUUAAGGAGACAGCUUUUCCUCUGCCAUGCACAUUUAUUCCCUUGUAACUGAUUGGGCC